GCGCUAAACUCAACCUAACCGCAUCGAAUCCCAUCUUUAUAUUUCCAAACAAAGAGUACCAACAAAAAAUAUAUUUUUUGUCAACCUAGAUAAAAAAAUCAAUGGAAAAAAUGGGAAAAAAUAAAAUAUAGAUUGCAUUCUUUGUUCAAGUUAUUAUUAUUGUAUUCUUUGUUCAAGUUAUUGCUCUAUUCACUGAUAGAAAAGUUCCUCCAUUUAAACCC
rnacentral:lncRNA from 1 species